GAUGAACGCUGGCGGCGUGCCUAAUACAUGCAAGUCGAGCGAACAGACGAGGAGCUUGCUCCUCUGACGUUAGCGGCGGACGGGUGAGUAACACGUGGAUAACCUACCUAUAAGACUGGGAUAACUUCGGGAAACCGGAGCUAAUACCGGAUAAUAUAUUGAACCGCAUGGUUCAAUAGUGAAAGACGGUUUUGCUGUCACUUAUAGAUGGAUCCGCGCCGCAUUAGCUAGUUGGUAAGGUAACGGCUUACCAAGGCAACGAUGCGUAGCCGACCUGAGAGGGGGAUAGGCCACACUGGAGGUGAGACAGGGACCAGACGCCUAAGAGAGGCAGCAGUAGGGAAUCGUCCGCAAUGGGCGAAAGCAUGACGGAGUAGGGCGGCGUGAGAGAUGAAGGUCUUCGGAUCGUAAAACUCUGUUACUAGGGAUGAACAAAUGUGUAAGUAAAUAUGCACGUAUUGACGGUAACGAAUCAGAAAGCAACGGCUAACUACGUG
rnacentral:rRNA from 1 species